UACGAAGGGGGCUAGCGUUGUUCGGAUUUACUGGGCGUAAAGGGCUCGUAGGUGGCCAACUAAGUCAGACGCGAAAUCCCUCGGCUUAACCGGGGAACUGCGUCUGAUACUGGAUGGCUUGAGUUCGGGAGAGGGAUGCGGAAUUCCAGGUGUAGCGGUGAAAUGCGUAGAUAUCUGGAGGAACACCGGUGGCGAAGGCGGCAUCCUGGACCGACACUGACGCUGAGGAGCGAAAGCCAGGGGAGCAAACGGG
rnacentral:rRNA from 1 species